rnacentral:rRNA from 1 species
CUAUCGUCAAGUGACUAAAGGGAUUGUUAGGGAUGACUAGCAAGCGUAUCAGAAGAGAAGUGGAAACACUAAAUGGACUAAACAUGUCCGAUCUCAAGGGAAACCAUAUAGCACAUAUGUGUAUGACUACGGACUGAACCGAAACAUCGUAGUAAGUCUAGGAAAGGAAAUCAACCGAGACCCUGUGAGUAGCGGCGAGCGAACGCAGGAUAGCCUAGUAAUAGUGAUUAGUAGAUCCAAUACUCUGGAAUGGGUAGAAGCAUAGUAAUAUGUACCAUAGAAGGUUAUAGUCCUGUAGAACUACUACUCUAUUACAACUAGCUAAGUACCUUAAUUUUGUAUAAAGUUCUGGCUUCUUAGUGAGUAGGGCGGCAUCAAACCUGCCCGAAUAAGGGUGCACCAUCAUCCAAGGCUAAGUAUGAUACGUUUAGCGAUAGUGAAUAGUACUGUGAAGGAAAGUUUAAAAGAAAGUCGAUGACUAGUGAAACAGAGCCUGAACUAGCAAUCCUAUAAGCAGACAGAGCAUUAAUGUGUGAUGUCGUACCUUUUGCAUAAUGGGUCAGCAAGUUUGUGUUACAGGUAAGGUGAAAGCCCUAGCGAAAGCGACUAUUUGUAACUUAAGUUAUGAAUGGGUUGAAUCUGUAGUACAAGACCCGAAACAUCUUGAUCUAUCCAUGGGCAGGUAUAUAGGACCGAACCAGUGUACGUUGCAUAGUACUUGGAUGACCUGUGGAUAGGAGUGAAAUGCUAAUCUAAAGAUGUGAUAGCUGGUUCUCUGCGAAAUGCAUUGCAGUGCAGCGUCAAUGUUAGCUUAUGGUAGGUACAGCACUGAUUGACAUACGGUUUUACCGUUGACUAGGGGGGCGUAACAGCUCUAUCUAGGUCAGUUAACCUCGGAAUGACUAUAAGUGAUCAUUGGCAGUGAGUCCUAGGGUGAUAAGGUCUUAGGACGAGAGGGAAACAGCCCAAACAGUGUGUUAAGGUCCCAAAGAUAUUGACAAGUGAAAUUAAGGAAGUGCAUUGCUUUAGACAGCCAUGAUGUGGGAUUGGAAGCGUCCAUCAUUUAAAGAAAGCGUAACAGCUCAGUGGUCUAUCUCUAGAGUAAUCUAGAAUGGCAGUGUGCGCCGAAGAUAUACCGGGUCUAAUCAAUACACCAAUACCACUGUCUAGUAUCUAUAUUCAAUAUCGAUACUAAGAGGUAGCAGAGCGUCCAGUACCAAUGAAGAGCAGUAUGUUAUUGUUUGGAGGUCACUGGAGUGAGGAUGCUGGCAUGAGUAGCAAGAAUGGAUGUUAAAUCAUCCACACCGAAAGAGGAAGGGUUCUGAGGGCAAGUUACACUGCCUCAGGUUAUAAGCGGUGUCUAAGGAGUUAGCCAAUGCGAAACUCCGAUGAUUAUAUUGCAGAACGGGCUCAUAACUGAGAUCCAGGAAAAGAAUGCAAUUUUACUACCGUACCUUAAACCGACACAGGUCCUCGGGUAGAGUAUACUAAGGUGACGAGAUAACCAAGUUUAAGGAACUCGGCAAACUGAUCUCGUACGUUCGACAAUAAGAGAUGCCUUUGUACUAUUUAGUAUGAGGGUGGCACAGAAUCAGGGAGUGCGACUGUUUACUCAAAACACAGCAGCCUGCUAACACUAACGUGGUCGUAUAGGUUGUGAUUCCUGUCCGGUGUCUCGCGAUAAAGUUAUGGUGUGUAUGGCUUACCAUGUACAUUGAACUAGAAGUCGAGAUAAACGACGGUCUUAACUAUAAGGAUCCUAAGGUAGCAAAAUGCUAACUAGUUGUAACAUACAAUUAGCGCUGCCCCCUUUAACAUUAUGUUAAAUUGAUAUUUUACUAUAUACGUGAACCACCUGCUGCAAUUAGAGCCAUGAUCGUGGAUACAUCAAAGGUUAAGCACAGUUCCUAUAAUUGGACUUGUUUUAACCCUUCUUUAUAUGAGAAGAUUGUUUAGGUGGAAUACGUAGAUACGUCGUAUCACAGAGACUACACGUAGAAGUGUAAUAGAACGCGAAUAAGCACCCAGUGCUGGUUAAAUAGAGUGUUAGUAUCUUAUAUCUCAAUUUGGAGUUUAAGGAACGGUAAGUCUUGAGCGGUGACUUCUGACCUCUGCCUAUGAUUAGAGCCCAGUCUGAUUCACAAUCUAUCUGGUUGUGGGUACGUGACAGAGCUAUUCAACACCUACUUAGCCAUGCUACAAGCUGUAUUACCAUCAGCGCAAUGGGUCCUAGGUUUCAUUGAUGGAGAAGGUUGUUUUCAUGUAGCUAUUCAGAAGAAUAAUACCUUACGCUGCGGCUACCAGGUUCAACUUCAGUUUUGCAUUACACAACACAUUCAAGAUCGUGAAUUAAUGGACCAGCUGAUCCUUUUCUUUGGAGUAGGUACGGUGAAUAGUGAUGGUCCACUGAAGGUACAGUAUCGUAUCCGAGGUAUGGACGACUUAGAAUACCACCUAUUUCCAUUUCUAGAGAAGAACCCGUUGUUGACUAAGAAGCGACUUGACUAUGAACAGUUUCGUGCGGUACACGCUUUAAUGCGUAAGGGGUUACAUUUAACUCCUGAAGGACUAGCACAAAUUCGUUUAAUCAAGGGACUGAUGAAUAGAUCACGGGUUAAAUAGCGCUACUAGACACAAGAUAUAGUCCUUCUGCUUGAACUCUCUACACCCCCUUAUCCUACAUGU